GGUUACCAUGGAGAAGGGCACCAUCAGGCAGAAAUACUGGGCAUGCAUGGCCUCGUCCGGUGACACUAGGCACUAGAAAUGAAUGAAAAACUGUUCACAGCUUGAAGAACUGAAAUGGCCACAGUGCCACCAACAGACCAAUCCUUUACAGCAGUCUUCAGCACUUCCAGCAAGUUCAACAUCACCUGUGCCAAAACCGAAAGGAACCAAGAAACCAUAGGCCCACUCUUCAUGAAAUAAACAUGGGGAAGACUGGCAACGUGCCCCACCAAUACCCUAGCCCUAUCCUCUAUCCAAAGGCGCACCUGAGGGAUGACGUCACCGAGUGCACCCUGGCCCUUCUCUGAUGCAGCGCAGCUCGUUGGUAACAGUUGCCAAGCA